rnacentral:rRNA from 1 species
GACGAACGCUGGCGGCGUGCUUAACACAUGCAAGUCGAACGCUGAAGCCUAGCUUGCUGGGUGGAUGAGUGGCGAACGGGUGAGUAACACGUGAGUAACCUGCCCUCUUCUUUGGGAUAACGCCCGGAAACGGGUGCUAAUACUGGAUAUUCACUGAUCUUCGCAUGGGGGUUGGUGGAAAGGUUUUUUCUGGUGGGGGAUGGGCUCGCGGCCUAUCAGCUUGUUGGUGGGGUGAUGGCCUACCAAGGCUUUGACGGGUAGCCGGCCUGAGAGGGUGACCGGUCACAUUGGGACUGAGAUACGGCCCAGACUCCUACGGGAGGCAGCAGUGGGGAAUAUUGCACAAUGGGCGAAAGCCUGAUGCAGCGACGCCGCGUGAGGGAUGGAGGCCUUCGGGUUGUAAACCUCUUUCGCUCAUGGUCAAGCCGCAGCUUUGGGUUGUGGUGAGGGUAGUGGGUAAAGAAGCGCCGGCUAACUACGUGCCAGCAGCCGCGGUAAUACGUAGGGCGCGAGCGUUGUCCGGAAUUAUUGGGCGUAAAGGGCUUGUAGGCGGUUGGUCGCGUCUGCCGUGAAAUCCUCUGGCUUAACUGGGGGCGUGCGGUGGGUACGGGCUGACUUGAGUGCGGUAGGGGAGACUGGAACUCCUGGUGUAGCGGUGGAAUGCGCAGAUAUCAGGAAGAACACCGGUGGCGAAGGCGGGUCUCUGGGCCGUUACUGACGCUGAGGAGCGAAAGCGUGGGGAGCGAACAGG